AUGAUGAAACUCUUAGAAUUCAAUUUCACUAUCCAGUACAAGAAAGGAGUGCAAAACAAAGUUGCAGAUGCUUUGUCUAGACUAUUGCCAAGUUGUUUCACCCUAUCUGCUGUGACUCCUACAUGGGCAGAAGAUCUAGUGGAAAGUUAUAAGGAGGAUCCACAGUCUCAACAGUUACUGGAAAAGUUGUUAGUGCAAAAACAGGAUAAUUCUUCAGAUUACAGCCUACAUUCUGGGAUCAUGAGAUUCAAGGGCAAGCUAUGGGUUGGCAAGUCUGCAGAGUUAAGAAAGAAACUAAUGUAUGCUCUUCAUAAUUCUCCUAUUGGAGGCCACUCAGGAGUGAGAGCUACAUAUAACAGGGUGAAGAACAUCUUUUUCUGGCCAGGACUUAAACAAGAUGUAGAGGCUUUUAUUGCAGCUUGUCCUAUUUGUCAACGAGCAAAACAUGAGAAUUGCUUGCAACCUGGCCUGCUGGACCCCCUCCCUGUUGCAGACAUGGCUUAG
rnacentral:rRNA from 1 species